UGGUGAUAAUGAUGAUGAUGAUAAUGAUGAUAAUGAUGAUUGGGGUUGUAUGGCACUCAUCGUCAUCAUUAUCAUCAACAACAACU
rnacentral:miRNA from 1 species